rnacentral:ncRNA from 1 species
AACAUUACAAUGAACGAGCACAGUAGUAAAAGAUCUCUGUUGAUAGAAAGCUAGUGGCUGAUGAAAACUAGUACAAGUCUUUUUACGAAUUACACUCUGGAGUAACUUGAUUAAUCUCAAGCGUCUUACUGGCGUUAACAGUCAAUGAGUGGUCAACAAAUUUUGCACUGAAAUUUGUCGGCAAAUUGGGUGGUAACACGAAAAAUUUCGUCCCGAUG